ACAUCCCGGACCUGCCCAGGCGGGCGAAGCGUGUCACUGGGACCAGGACCCGUCUUCGGCGCCCAGAGGGGCCGAAAGGCCUGGGUCGCAUCGCUAGACACCUGGAACUGUGAUGCUCAAGAGCUGGCAGGUGGUCCAGGGAGGAUGAACUUCGCGGAAAGGGACAGGUGGUGGUUAAGAGCGCCGGCAGAGAAUCGGAGGGCCUGUCGUCAUCUUGGCUCUGCCGUUCACGGCGUGGGCUUCGGACCAUCUCGGAACCCCAGCUGCCACCUUAUGAAAUGGGAGCAAUGGUACCUGCUUCACAGAGCUAUCCCAUGAGAAUUAAAUGAGUUAAUUCAUGUAAAACUCACAUGGCCCCUAACACACAGUAUGCUUCCAAUCCACGCUGUUGCUGUUGCGCUGUGAGGCAGCCGGCCAGGGGUCCAAAAAGAAGGUGACCUUGAAUACUUGAGAGAAGAUCCUGGGAGCCAAGAGCAAAGGGACUUCCAGUGCACACAGCAGAUGGAUCACGGGUGCUGCCAACGGGCUGGGCAGG